UACGGAAGGCAGCAGUGGGGAAUAUUGCACAAUGGGCGCAAGCCUGAUGCAGCCAUGCCGCGUGUAUGAAGAAGGCCUUCGGGUUGUAAAGUACUUUCAGUCGUGAGGAAGGUGUUAAGGUUAAUAACCUUAGCAAUUGACGUUAGCGACAGAAGAAGCACCGGCUAACUCCGUGCCAGCAGCCGCGGUAAUACGGAGGGUGCGAGCGUUAAUCGGAAUUACUGGGCGUAAAGGGCACGCAGGCGGUUAAUUAAGUUGGAUGUGAAAUCCCCGGGCUUAACCUGGGAAUGGCAUUCAAGACUGGUUAGCUAGAGUCUUGUAGAGGGGGUUAGAAUUCCAUGUGUAGCGGUGAAAUGCGUAGAGAUGUGGAGGAAUACCGGUGGCGAAGGCGGCCCCUGGACAAAGGCUGACGCUCAUGUGCAAAAGCGUGGGGAGCAAAC
rnacentral:rRNA from 1 species